AGAGUUUGAUCCUGGCUCAGAACGAACGCUGGCGGCGUGGAUAAGACAUGCAAGUCGAACGAGAGAAUUGCUAGCUUGCUAAUAAUUCUCUAGUGGCGCACGGGUGAGUAACACGUGAGUAACCUGCCCCCGAGAGCGGGAUAGCCCUGGGAAACUGGGAUUAAUACCGCAUAGUAUCGAAAGAUUAAAGCAGCAAUGCGCUUGGGGAUGGGCUCGCGGCCUAUUAGUUAGUUGGUGAGGUAACGGCUCACCAAGGCGAUGACGGGUAGCCGGUCUGAGAGGAUGUCCGGCCACACUGGAACUGAGACACGGUCCAGACACCUACGGGUGGCAGCAGUCGAGAAUCAUUCACAAUGGGGGAAACCCUGAUGGUGCGACGCCGCGUGGGGGAAUGAAGGUCUCCGGAUUGUAAACCCCUGUCAUGUGGGAGCAAAUUAAAAAGAUAGUACCACAAGAGGAAGAGACGGCUAACUCUGUGCAGCAGCCGCGGUAAUACAGAGGUCUCAAGCGUUGUUCGGAAUCACUGGGCGUAAAGCGUGCGUAGGCUGUUUCGUAAGUCGUGUGUGAAAGGCGCGGGCUCAACCCGCGGACGGCACAUGAUACUGCGAGACUAGAGUAAUGGAGGGGGAACCGGAAUUCUCGGUGUAGCAGUGAAAUGCGUAGAUAUCGAGAGGAACACUCGUGGCGAAGGCGGGUUCCUGGACAUUAACUGACGCUGAGGCACGAAGGCCAGGGGAGCGAAAGGGAUUAGAUACCCCUGUAGUCCUGGCAGUAAACGGUGCACGCUUGGUGUGCGGGGAAUCGACCCCCUGCGUGCCGGAGCUAACGCGUUAAGCGUGCCGCGUGGGGAGUACGGUCGCAAGAUUAAAACUCAAAGAAAUUGACGGGGACCCGCACAAGCGGUGGAGUAUGUGGCUUAAUUCGAUGCAACGCGAAGAACCUUACCUGGGCUUGACAUGUAAUGAACAACAUGUGAAAGCAUGCGACUCUUCGGAGGCGUUACACAGGUGCUGCAUGGCCGUCGUCAGCUCGUGUCGUGAGAUGUUUGGUUAAGUCCAGCAACGAGCGCAACCCCUGUUGCCAGUUACCAGCACGUGAAGGUGGGGACUCUGGCGAGACUGCCCAGAUCAACUGGGAGGAAGGUGGGGACGACGUCAGGUCAGUAUGGCCCUUAUGCCCAGGGCUGCACACGUACUACAAUGCCCAGUACAGAGGGGGCCGAAGCCGCGAGGCGGAGGAAAUCCUAAAAACUGGGCCCAGUUCGGACUGUAGGCUGCAACCCGCCUACACGAAGCCGGAAUCGCUAGUAAUGGCGCAUCAGCUACGGCGCCGUGAAUACGUUCCCGGGUCUUGCACACACCGCCCGUCA
rnacentral:rRNA from 1 species